AAAAACAUGUUCUUUUGUUUAUAUAAAAGAUCUGACCUGCCCAAUGAUUAUAUAUUUAAUGGCUGCAGUAUUUUGACUGUACAAAGGUAGCAUAAUCAUUUGUCUUUUAAUUGAAGUCUAGAAUGAAUGGUUUGAUGAAAAAUAUAUUUUCUUUUUUUUAUAUUAAAAAUUUAAUCUUUUAGUCAAAAAGCUAAAAUAUAAUUAUAGGACGAGAAGACCCUAUAGAACUUUAUUUUAUAAUUUAAAUAUUAAAUAUGGAAAAUUAUAAAAUAUAUAAAUUUAUAAUUUUGUUGGGGUGACAGAAAAAAUAUAUUAACUUUUUCUAUUUUUUUCAUUUUUAUUGAAUUUUUGAUCCUUUUUUAUGGAUAUCAAGAUUAAGUUACCUUAGGGAUAACAGCGUUAUUAUCUUGGAGAGUUCAUAUCGAUAUGAUAGUUUGCGACCUCGAUGUUGGAUUAUAAUAAGAUAUAGAAGUAGAAUAUUAUAUUCUGGGUCUGUUCGACCUUUAAAUUUUUACAUGAUCUGAGUC
rnacentral:rRNA from 1 species